CCUACGGGGGGCUGCAGUGGGGAAUUUUCCGCAAUGGGCGAAAGCCUGACGGAGCAAUGCCGCGUGAAGGUAGAAGGCCUACGGGUCAUGAACUUCUUUUCCCGGAGAAGAAGCAAUGACGGUAUCCGGGGAAUAAGCAUCGGCUAACUCUGUGCCAGCAGCCGCGGUAAGACAGAGGAUGCAAGCGUUAUCCGGAAUGAUUGGGCGUAAAGCGUCUGUAGGUGGCUUUUUAAGUUCGCCGUCAAAUCCCAGGGCUCAACCCUGGACAGGCGGUG
rnacentral:rRNA from 1 species